rnacentral:rRNA from 1 species
UACAGGGGGUGCAAACGUUGCUCGGAAUCAUUGGGCGUAAAGCGCACGUAGGCGGUCUGUUAUGUCGGAUGUGAAAGCCCUGGGCUCAACCCAGAAACUGCUUUUGAAACUGCCGAGCUAGAGUGCGGAAGGGGCAACUGGAAUUCCCAGUGUAGCGGUGAAAUGCGUAGAUAUUGGGAAGAACACCUGAGGCGAAGGCGGGUUGCUGGGCCGACACUGACGCUGAGUGCGCGAAAGCCAGGGGAGCGAACGGG